UCUUCUCAGCAUAAUCUAAGGGUGGCAGCAAAUAUGGCUUCUCCUGAUGGGCUUCAGAGAGGCUGAUCCUCCAGACUAGACAAGCCAAUUGUUAUGAAUAAUUUAUUUUUGUUUGGGAGUUUUAUGUCACUUGAUCACACAAGAGUUUUAUAUCAUCAGUUGUGGAUAAGAGUCACUGUGGGCUUCUAGUAGGAUCAUAAAGAUAAGCCGCAAAUAUUUCAAUAAAUAACAAAAGGUGCACCUUGCCAAUCUCUGAGCCCCAAGAUGAAUUGAAAGAGUGGAUGGAGGAUUUCUCCACCUUGAGGUCCCUCAGCCGCCAGAGUUGGAAAGCCUGCCGAAAGAGGAGACUGAGGUUGAAAUGCCACCCAGACCACCUCAGGAAUCUCAGCCACCAAGGAUUUGAUGACACGGGAAACACAAUCCUUCAUCAAAUGGGAAAAUGAGCACAGAAACUACAUAUAAAACACACAUAAAGAGAAUGGGAGGAGAAACCUAAAUGCUGUCUACGCUUUGUGUCGCUGAAUGAGAAAACUGAGCCUCAGAGAGGUUAAAUAACUUGUCCAAGAUCGCCCAGCUAAAUGUGGUCCGAGCACAGAUUCAAGUCUGCCGUACCUGGGGCCGUCGUUGCACCAAUCCCCAUUGUCCCACUGCUGAGAGACUUGCAUGUGUGCAGAAAGCAGUGAGUGGCCAGAGGAGGAGGGACUGGUGUUGAGUUGGACUGGAUUCCAGGGAGUUGACAACCUUCUCACCAGACCUUUCAGCGUGGAGGAAACGCUUGAGCUCAAAAAAAGGAAGUUAGAGAAGCAAAAGAAGUUAAGGAUAAAAACAAUCUAUGAGGGGAGGAGGCCAGUGCCUAAUGGGUACAGCAAAGCCAAGGAAGCCACAGUCCUACAAGUAAUCAGAGGCCAAGCUGAGGCUAGAGUCAAAGCUGGAAGGAUGUGCUCCCAUGACCCAUCACGGCAAACGGGUAAUUCAGACCCCUCUUCAUUCCACUAGGGACAAAUCCAAAAAACUGCAGAAUGAGCAAAUCCUUAAAACUAAACACAUGGAAGAAAUGCAUGGAUGGUCUCGGGAUAUAUAAAGAAGAGGGAUAUUGCUGAGCAAUAUUGUCCGUUACUUUCCCUGGCACAUUUAAAAUUGGGAGGUUAUUAAUAGAUUCAAAGAUAGUAGCAAGGUUAUUCUUCUCUUUACAGUAAAUAUAAUAAUUAUUAUUAUUACUACCGGUAUGAC